GUGGGGAAUUUUGGACAAUGGGCGCAAGCCUGAUCCAGCAAUGCCGCGUGCAGGAAGAAGGCCUUCGGGUUGUAAACUGCUUUUGUACGGAACGAAACGGUCCUGGUUAAUACCUGGGGCUAAUGACGGUACCGUAAGAAUAAGCACCGGCUAACUACGUGCCAGCAGCCGCGGUAAUACGUAGGGUGCAAGCGUUAAUCGGAAUUACUGGGCGUAAAGCGUGCGCAGGCGGUUUUGUAAGACAGGCGUGAAAUCUCCGGGCUCAACCUGGGAAUUGCGCUUGUGACUGCAAGGCUGGAGUGCGGCAGAGGGGGAUGGAAUUCCGCGUGUAGCAGUGAAAUGCGUAGAUAUGCGGAGGAACACCGAUGGCGAAGGCAAUCCCCUGGGCCUGCACUGACGCUCAUGCACGAAAGCGUGGGGAGCAAACAGGAUUAGAUACCCCUGUAGUCC
rnacentral:rRNA from 1 species